ensembl:snRNA U4 U4 spliceosomal RNA
AGCUUUGCACAGUGGCAAUAUAGUAGCCAAGGAGGUUUAUUUGAGGUGUGAUUAUUGCUAAUUAUAAACUGUUCCCAAUACUCCCCCACGACAACUUGCAAUAUAGUCAACAUUGGCAAUUUUUGACAGUCUUUACAGAGA